AAGUUGCAGAGGCAAAGGAUCCAUCUUUGCUAUCGCCACUCUUCUUUGGGGUUCGAAAGAGCCAGACUUUGUUUAAUUAUGCCGAUAAUUAUGUGCAGAGUCGUCGCUAGUUUUGUUCUGUAAGGAGCAGAACAGUCUCCUCCAUCCCUCUAUGUGAAGUCCACAAUUGCUCCACUUUUCAGAAGCCAAGGACUUGAUGCUUGGUGUGGCGCCUGAUCUCGACACACCGGAAGCAGUCGAUGCUGCCAUUGCCAGCCAUCAACCUGCGACCUGUUUUGGCCUCUGAAAACGGAGACUCUGAGAGCAGCCAUAAGAGUGAUCGAGAAGGAAAAGAGAAGAGUUGUUUGUGUGAAUCUAGCCGAAAAACGAACCAAUAUCAUAGAGCUCUCAUAAAACAUAGCAUCUUCUCAAUGCAUGGGCAAUCCAUGUAAAAUAGUAAUUUACUCAACAUUCAAAAGUGGAUACAACACUGGUCAUGCAUAUAUUAUUGACAUUCAUAGACAUACUUCUCCGACGAAAUUAAAAUCAUCAAAGUAAGUUUGGUUGUCAAUGAAGUUGAACCACUCGUCGUACUCAUUGUUAGGUGUGGUUGAUUCAACCAGCUGUCUCCUCAAGUCGGAUUCUUCGUUUGUGUCUUCAAAUCCGCAUGGGAUAUCCGGUUGAGGAUGAUCAAAUGAUUGCGAUUUGGUUACCUCUCGAGUCAUUUCUUGGGUUGAAAUGUGAGUUUGGUGGUUAUGAAGAAGAGAGUCUAGCGGAAAUAAGAUAUCGUUAUCCUGAAGAAACUCAGAGGUUAUAUCAUCAAAGUCAUCAUGGUCGAGCAGGAACUGGAUCUCGUUGAGUCCAUUAACCUCAUGAAGCUCUGGUUUUGUGUGCAUACACUCGCCUUGGUGAUGUGACGAAGUAGCUGAGUUUUGGCUCUCAUUUAACCCUGAAUGUAUUUCUUCUUGAGCCCCGUCACAGUUCUUGUCAUGAUCUGCUUUUGUGCUUUGGUCAUGAGUGCUAGAGAGGGAUGAAGAAGAAGAAGAUGGAGUGAGUCGUUUCUUGAGAUGCGUGUUCCACACGUUUUUGAUCUCGUUGUCAGUUCUUCCCGGCAAGAAGGACGCGAUCUUUGACCACCUGAUGAUCACAUAUAUCAAUUAGUCUCUACAUACUAUAUAUUGUCUUAUUAUAAAGAAAUUAG